rnacentral:rRNA from 1 species
UGCGGGACGAAGGCCCUAGGGUCGUAAACCGCUUUCAGUAGGGACGAAAAUGACGGUACCUGCAGAAGAAGCUCCGGCCAACUACGUGCCAGCAGCCGCGGUGAUACGUAGGGAGCAAGUGUUGUCCGGAAUUACAGGGCGUAAAGGGCUCGUAAGUGGUUGAGUAAGUCAGAUGUGUAAUCUCAGGGCCCAACCCUYAGCCUGCAUUUGAUACUGCUCUGACUAGAGUCCGGUAGGGGAGUGCGGAACUCCUGGUUUAGCGGUGAAAUGCGCAGAUAUCAGGAAGAACACCGACAGCGAAGGCAGCACUCU